CACUAAAGCCUCAAAGGCCCCAACGGCUAGUAGACAUCGUUUACGGCAUGGACUACCAGGGUAUCUAAUCCUGUUUGCUCCCCAUGCUUUCGCACCUCAGCGUCAGUGUUAGGCCAGAUGGCUGCCUUCGCCAUCGGUAUUCCUCCAGAUCUCUACGCAUUUCACCGCUACACCUGGAAUUCUACCAUCCUCUCCCACACUCUAGCUAACCAGUAUCGAAUGCAAUUCCCAAGUUAAGCUCGGGGAUUUCACAUUUGACUUAAUUAGCCGCCUACGCGCGCUUUACGCCCAGUAAAUCCGAUUAACGCUUGCACCCUCUGUAUUACCGCGGCUGCUGGCACAGAGUUAGCCGGUGCUUAUUCUGUCGGUAACGUCAAAACAGCAAGGUAUUAACUUACUGCCCUUCCUCCCAACUUAAAGUGCUUUACAAUCCGAAGACCUUCUUCACACACGCGGCAUGGCUGGAUCAGGCUUUCGCCCAUUGUCCAAUAUUCCCCACUGCUGCCUCCCGUAGGAGUCUGGACCGUGUCUCAGUUCCAGUGUGACUGAUCAUCCUCUCAGACCAGUUACGGAUCGUCGCCUUGGUGAGCCAUUACCCCACCAACUAGCUAAUCCGACCUAGGCUCAUCUGAUAGCGCAAGGCCCGAAGGUCCCCUGCUUUCUCCCGUAGGACGUAUGCGGUAUUAGCGCUCCUUUCGAAACGUUGUCCCCCACUACCAGGCAGAUUCCUAGGCAUUACUCACCCGUCCGCCGCUGAAUCAAGGAGCAAGCUCCCGUCAUCCGCUC
rnacentral:rRNA from 1 species